GAUGAACGCUGACAGAAUGCUUAAUACAUGCAAGUCGACUGUGGCGGACGGGUGAGUGACGCGUAAAGAACUUGCCUCACAGCGAGGGCCAACAUUUGGAAACGAAUGCUAAUACCUGAUAUUGUGAGAGAGAUUUGCGUCACAUUAGCUAGUUGGAGAGGUAACUGCUCACCAAGGCGAUGAUGGGUAGCCGGCCUGAGAGGGUGAUCGGCCACAAGGGGACUGAGACACGGCACUUACGCAUACGGGAGGAAGCAGGGAGGAAUGUCGGAGAAUGGACCAGAGUCUGAUACAGCAAUUGUGUGGGAAAGAUCAAGGUUUCAGAAGGUAAAGUGCUUUCAGUUAGGAAGCGGUACCAACAGAAGAAGUGACGGCUAACUACGUGCCAGCCGCCGCGGUAAUAC
rnacentral:rRNA from 1 species